rnacentral:lncRNA from 1 species
GUACCUCAUCAAGAAGAGAUUCUAAAGAAUGUACAGCUCUAAGAACAGUGAGUUGUUGUGAAAUACAAGCUCACAGUUUGAUUAUUUUCUUACAUGUUUUCUUAAUUGUCCUUAAUUGUCAUUUCUACAGACAGAAACUCUGGAAGAGGCACCUGUUAGAUCAUGAAGUAAAAAGAGAAGUAAAGUGCGGAAGAAAUGGUGUAAGAGACGAACUGACAUCAAUGGAUGCUGUGAACUUGUAUUUCUACUGUGCUGUGCUGCCUCUUAUAAUAAUACCAGUGCCUAGGAUUUGGCAGGCCUGGUAA